GGGCGGGGAGAGAGAGGCCUUUCUCGGGCUGUGUGUGGGCCUGCUGAGGGAGACGCAGCGGCAAGAAGCUGCUGCUGGGGGUCAGGCUUGUAGCUUUUAGUCUUCUAAACACUGAUGGAAAUUCAUUGUUUGGCUGCUGUUUCACGCUGUUAGUUGCGAGUUUGCAUUGAACCGUGAAUAAAACAAAGCAGUGUGUGCAAACGGGCUCAUCCCGCGAAGGAGAAACAUAGCAGUCACCGGAUUAAGAGUUUCCAGCAAAAUAUUUGAAAUCGUGCCUGUUGUGCUUCCCUUCAAUAGUUCGUGUAUUGGGAGCUGGAUAUUGAACCGUGCAAUUAUCUGAUGUGCCAAGACAAUGUCACGUUUCCGUGGUGCAACACCAAGUGUGACUAGCUGCUCCUACUAACAGCAGGACUGAAACUCCAGACCUAGGACAAAGACUCGGGGCAGGCAGAAUUCAGGCCCAUCGCAGUAUUUCGUCAACCAUUCACCGGAUCAUGCGGGGAGAGGGCCACAGCCACCCCUCUUGAAGAUGCAGUUACAUCAUUAAUCUUUAUCUCAGAUUGGAAAGAGAGAUUGAUGACACUCUGAUUCUCACAGUGGAAUACACUAUUAUACGUUUUGUUACAGUGAUCCAAUGCAACUGGAUCACUGUGCCUUUCCCCUUAUCCUAUACAACCAAUCCUUUGAAACUCCUAACUGAAGCUGGACCCUCUAUUAGCCAGGCCAAGGUUCACCACAAUGUCUGUUAAACAUUAUCAGACAGUGUAAUCACCAGGCCAUGGGAUCUUUCCAUACAUCUAUCAAUUCGCUUUAAAAAGUUACUGGCCGUACACCUUCAGUCAUGCCCCAGAAUCGCUUACCUAUCAGGCUAGCUUGAAUUCUGCUGUCAAUUGUAUUAAUUUUGUGUCUCUAUUAAAUUCUGUUACUCCUCUUAUUUUCCCACUGUCUGAAUUAUAAUAAAACAGACAGUUGACUCCUACUAGGAGGCCAGGCCGCAUCAGAGUAGCAAGAAAGUUGAUGCUUCUGAAGAAGAAUCCUGACCCACAACUUAAACUUUCCUGCACCUCUGAUGCUGCCUGGCCUGCUGUGUUCCUCCAGCUCCACAUUGUGUUAUCUCUAACUGCAGCAUUGGCAGGGCUUACUAUUGCUGAGUUUAUUCUUACAAGUUGCUAUAAGAUUCAUGAUAUUAAUUGUAUUAUAAAGUGAGUUAUAUGUAACGCUUUAUGCAUACCCAUACUCUUAGCUCUGUUAUAGCUAAUGAAUUGUGAGCCAUUUGCUUCUUACAGGAUGCACCAGGCAUUCCUUUAGUGACAUAGGAAACCUUCUGGAGACGAAUUUAACUUUCAUACCCAUGUUUGAAUCUUCUCCCCUGAUGCUUUUAGUGAUAUUUGUAUUUUAUUUUAUAUAUAUAGAUUUAGAAUUACAUUGAAAUCUAUCUGAAGGAUCUUUAACUGGAACCAAUUUCUUAAUAUUGUGAAUAUUGCUGCAAGAUGGAGUUAUCUGCUGUUUUCAUGAUGAGCUAGGCCAGCUGUCUUUGGGAUGAUUGACACCCCUUGUCCUAACUAACUAUAUUCAUCUAAUGGGACAACAUCCUUUCAUUAAAGGGACUGAAAUCAAUUGCUUAUCAAUUUUAAUGAACUUGUUUGAUUCUGUAGAUUUUUUUUAUGAGCCAUAAUCCCAUGAGUUCAACUGUUUGUUUAUUGCAGAACUUACUGUCCCCUUCAAUCUUUGUUGCAAACCUUCAAACUGUCUCCAACAAAUCUUGCAGCUGUUGUUUGUGCAAUGCUCCCUUUUGCCUCGGAAUAACCUCUUCUCAAAAGUACCAUUGUGUCUUUGUUAAAUGCUGGAGCAGGCUUUUUUCAUUCGUUCUGUUUAACCACGUGUCAGUCAUAUGCAGCAGGGCUAGAGGAACAGCUUAGCUGCCAGCCAUUCGGUGUCUCUUAGACUUGGGCAGCCCGAACAUUGCUCAUUCAAUUCUGAGAGAGCUGGAGACAGGGAGUUAUUAACAUGACCUGGGAAAGAGCUCUAUUAUCGCUCCACAAAGGGCCGAUGCCUCAGCUUGAAGCAUUAUCUGCCCUUUUCCCCACAGCCGCAGUUGCUUUCUUCACAGUGGGAGAGAAGGGAAUUAGGGAAUGACCCAUUGAUGUUUGUUGUUGGGAAUUAUUGGGAAAAGCAGUCCAUGCCAUUGGUGGCCCUGCCCCAAAUGCUGCUUGUUUGGCUACUGUUUCACACUGUUUAUCGUCAUUGUGCAAAGAAUAGUGGAAACACAGGCAAGAUGGUGGAAAUAUAAGAAUCCUGUAAAGGACGCAGAUUGGAGUCAACAGAUUAUAUGUCUCGAGCAAAAACAUUCGAAAUAGUGUCUGUUGUUCUUCUUUACAACAGUUAGUGUGUUGGGAUCUGGUGACACAAACUGUGUCAAUAUUACAGCAUCCUCAGGUAGCACCUUUAGAUGCAGCUGUGCAAUUGUUCAGUUUCUGGACCUCGCUGAGUUAGACCUGUGUUUGAAUUGAUGGCUUCAAAGAAAAGGCAGAAGUCUCAUGAUUUGUGUUAUAGUCCAAUAGGUUUAUUUUAAAAUCUCAAGCUUUUGGAGCUCUGCUACAUUGUCAGGUGAAGUUGAAGAAAAGAAACAUCCUAAUAAUUAUCAACUGAAUGUACGUUAAUCUGUUUGAGAUUGUCAAACUUGGCUGAUGCUGAUUUACAGAAUGUUUCUCUUCUGUUUUCAUCCAGGCAAAUACAUGAAGGACCAAGACAGUGUAUCAUUUCUUUGGUGCAAAGCCAAGUGUGAGCAGCUGCUUCUCACAAACAGCAGACAAACACUUGAAGGAACAAGACAAUGUAUCAUUUCUUCAGUACAAAGCUCCUCCUAACAAACAGCAGAUAUGUUCCCACUAUCACAGCAUGAGAACAUCCUUUCCCCAGUCACGGAGCAGAUUGAAUCAGACACACGUUGAGCUUUAAUUUCCAGUCAGACACGUCAAAGCCGACAAUAAAACAAGACAGAGGAAUGCCA